rnacentral:tRNA from 1 species
GCGGCCGUGCCCCGAGGCGGUAAGGGGCACACGGCUGCUCCCCAUUCGAGCGGCCGGGUGGAAUGCGGGUUCGAUUCCCGCUGGCCGCU